AGUCGCGAACGGGUGAGUAACGCGUAGGUAACCUGCCUGAUAGCGGGGGAUAACUAUUGGAAACGAUAGCUAAUACCGCAUAAGAGUCGUUAACACAUGUUAAUGAUUUAAAAGGAGCAAUUGCUUCACUAUCAGAUGGACCUGCGUUGUAUUAGCUAGUUGGUGAGGUAACGGCUCACCAAGGCCUCGAUACAUAGCCGACCUGAGAGGGUGAUCGGCCACACUGGGACUGAGACACGGCCCAGACUCCUACGGGAGGCAGCAGUAGGGAAUCUUCGGCAAUGGACGAAAGUCUGACCGAGCAACGCCGCGUGAGUGAAGAAGGUUUUCGGAUCGUAAAGCUCUGUUAUAAGCGAAGAACGGGAGUAAGAGUGGAAAGUUUACUCUGUGACGGUAGCUUAUCAGAAAGGGACGGCUAACUACGUGCCAGCAGCCGCGGUAAUACGUAGGUCCCGAGCGUUGUCCGGAUUUAUUGGGCGUAAAGCGAGCGCAGGUGGUUUAAUAAGUCUGAAGUUAAAGGCAUUGGCUCAACCAAUGUACGCUUUGGAAACUGUUGAACUUGAGUGCAGAAGGGGAGAGUGGAAUUCCAUGUGUAGCGGUGAAAUGCGUAGAUAUAUGGAGGAACACCGGUGGCGAAAGCG
rnacentral:rRNA from 1 species